rnacentral:telomerase_RNA from 1 species
GCUGCGUGGGCGGGUCGGUCCGUCCUGGCACAUCUAACCCUAAAUGCGCGCUGCUUGAAGUGGCUUCUCCUGGGCGAUCGCUCGCUGUUUUUGUGGCUGGCUUUCAGCGGGCUGGAGGAGCCGGGAGCGGAGGCGGAGGACCGAGCCAAAAACGUCAGCCGAGGCCGGGCGGCCCCGCUCGUGGCCCGUCCGCACU